UACAGAGGUCUCAAGCGUUGUUCGGAUUCAUUGGGCGUAAAGGGUGCGUAGGCGGCGCGGUAAGUCGGGUGUGAAAUCUCGGAGCUUAACUUCGAAACUGCAUUCGAUACUGCCGUGCUAGAGGACUGGAGAGGAGACUGGAAUUUACGGUGUAGCGGUGAAAUGCGUAGAUAUCGUAAGGAAGACCAGUGGCGAAGGCGGGUCUCUGGACAGUUCCUGACGCUGAGGCACGAAGGUCAGGGGAGCAAACGGG
rnacentral:rRNA from 1 species